UGUAACAACUCACCUGCCGAAGCAACUAGCCCUGAAAAUGGAUGGCGCUCUAGCGUCGUGCCUAUACCGGGCCGUCAACGGCAAAGUGGGCGUCCGGCAUUCGUGUCGGAGCCGUUAAGCCUUGACGAGUAGGAGGGUCGCGGCGGUGUGCGCAGAAGGGUCGGGGCGUGAGCCCGCCUGGAGCCGCCGUCGGCGCAGAUCUUGGUGGUAGUAGCAAAUACUCUAGCGAGGGCCUGGAGGACUGACGUGGAGAAGGGUUUCUUGUGAACAGCCGUUGCACAAGAGUCAGUCGACCCUAAGCCCUAGGAGAAAUCCGAUGUUGAUGGGUAGCUUAACAGUACAACAGCUCCUGUCGGGCAAAAGGGAAUCCGGUUCCUAUUCCGGAACCCGGCUGCGUAACCGCCAUUCAGCGGGCACUCGCCUGCGAGCGCUCGUCGGGGUAACCCAAACUGGCCCGGAGACGCUGGCGGGAGGUCUGGAAAGAGUUUUCUUUUCUUUAUAAGCGUUCGAGUACCCUGGAAUCCUAUAGCAGGGAGAUAGGGUUUGGAACGCGAAGAGCACCGCAGUUGCGGCGGUGUCCGGACCUUCCCCUCGGACCUUGAAAAUCCGGGUGAGGGCUACGCGGAAGUCGCGCCGGAUCGUACCCAUAUCCGCAGCAGGUCUCCAAGGUUAAGAGCCUCUAGUCGAUAGAAUAAUGUAGGUAAGGGAAGUCGGCAAACUA
rnacentral:rRNA from 1 species